rnacentral:tRNA from 1 species
UGGAUCACCUCCUAACAGGGAGACAACAAAAUGUUUAAUAUUAUUUUGUCACCUUAGGUCGAUCGGUAUCUCACGUUCUUAAUUUAUUAAGAAUUUCAUUAUCCUAAGUUUUUCUAGGUCACACCCAUUAUUUUCCUGGGCCAUUAGCUCAGGUGGUUAGAGCGCACCCCUGAUAAGGGUGAGGUCCCUGGUUCAAGUCCAGGAUGGCCCAUAUCUCUAUGUUGGGGGUAUAGCUCAGUUGGUAGAGCGCCUGCUUUGCAAGCAGGAUGUCAGCGGUUCGAGUCCGCUUACCUCCACUGAUUACCACCUCUUACAUAAUCUGUAUGAAGGAAAUGUUUUGAGUUGUGAUCAAAUUCUGAACGAAUCUAGCUUCCUAAUGAAAUCAUUAAGAUGCUGGACUCAUUGAAUUAAUUUCAUUGUUUUCAGAGAACCUUGACAACUGCAUAGAUUAUUUUAAAGACAAUAAGCAUCUUUAAUGAUGCAGAUUUAUUAUUUGUGCAAAUGCAUUAAUAACAAUUCUAUUAAGCUGAUGCUUCAAUUUUGAAGUUAUUGGUCAAGCUACAAAGGGCUCACGGAGGAUACCUAGGCACACAGAGGCGAUGAAGG